AACGAACGCUGGCGGCAGGCUUAACACAUGCAAGUCGAGCGCCCCGCAAGGGGAGCGGCAGACGGGUGAGUAACGCGUGGGAAUCUACCCAUCUCUACGGAAUAACGCAUGGAAACGUGUGCUCAUACCGUACACGUCCUUCCGGAGAAAGAUUUAUCGGAGAUGGAUGAGCCCGCGUUGGAUGAGCUAGUUGGUGGGGUAAAGGCCUACCAAGGCGGCGAUCCAUAGCUGGUCUGAGAGGAUGAUCAGCCACACUGGGACUGAGACACGGCCCAGACUCCUACGGGAGGCAGCAGUGGGGAAUAUUGGACAAUGGGCGCAAGCCUGAUCCAGCCAUGCCGCGUGAGUGAUGAAGGCCCUAGGGUUGUAAAGCUCUUUCACCGGUGAAGAUAAUGACGGUAACCGGAGAAGAAGCCCCGGCUAACUUCGUGCCAGCAGCCGCAGUAACAC
rnacentral:rRNA from 1 species